rnacentral:lncRNA from 1 species
GUGCAAUGUUAUUUGAAUUUUCUGAAAAGUUGCAUGUUUCUUUCCUGUAAUGUGUAAAUUGCAUGCAGGAUCUCUCUCUAUUUUAUUUUGUAUGUCUUUAAAGCUUCUUCUAAGAACUCAUCCCUAAUUUCUCAAUUUUCAGGUGACUGAAAAUUCCUGGGGCUUUUCCUGGAAUAGAAUGGGUAUCGAAGACCCAUGUCAGUGAUCCCCUGAAGCAGUGUUUAUUUGGAGUGUGUUUGCAAACAACAAAGUGGCUGAUGGAAAGAAAAGGGAACUUCCUGGAUAUCAGGGAAGCAUAGGUUUUGGAGGAAAUCUAACUUGGGAACCAUAGUGGAUGCAGAAGAGUGGAACAUGCAGGGGUCUUUGAAGCACUGCUUGGUCAGCUGUCAGAGGACCCUGAAUACCAGGAGCUACCUGCUGUAUAGAGGCUGGCCUGGGGCAUUUGCUGCAACAUAGAAACCCGAGAGGAGAUCAACAAUUCUGUUUCACCCUACCUCUUGAUCUUGAUCCUGAAAGCCAGCCAGGAUCUUAGGAGUCUUUAGUCCCAGGAUGGAGUACUCAGGGCUUCCAGAGACUCAUUGCUAACUGUUCCACCUACUCAAACCACUUUAGUGGGAGGGGCACCUUUUCCAUCACCUCACAAACAAAAAAACAUUUUUAAACAACUUUAAAGACUUGAGAGGGAGCUGGGCAUGGUGGCACACAUCCUUAAUUCCCAAAUUCAGGAGGCAGAAGCAGGCAGAUCCCUGAGUUCUAGGCCAGCCUAGUCUGCAGAGCAAGUUCCAGGACAGCCAGGACUAUACAGAAACCCUGUCUCGAGGAGGGGGGAUAGGACUAAAUGCCUGACACGGCUGUCCAGGUCAGAACAUACUCAGCUCCUGUGCCACUGUCAGUAUCUUGUUUCCCCUUAGUUUCUAUAGAAUGUGUUGGAACACUCUACUGCACGUGCUCACCCCAACCUCCACCAUACCUUUGUUGGGACCUUCAGCCUUCAAGCCCUUAGACAUUUCUAGAGGACUCUAAGGAAGAUACUCACCUUGUAUGUAAGGUGCUAAGGAAAGUCAAGAAUCAUUACUUUGGGCAAGCUGUUUGAAGUUCUGAGC